GAUGAACGCUGGCGGCGUGCUUAAUACAUGCAAGUCGAACGGAGACAUUAUAGCAAUAUGAUGUCUUAGUGGCGAACGGGUGAGUAACGCGUUGGUGACCUGCCCCGAAGUGGGGGAUAACAGCUCGAAAGGGCUGCUAAUACCUCAUGUGGUCAUAAGGGUUAGAGGCCUUAUGUCUAAAGGAGUAAUCCGCUUCGGGAGGGGCCUGCGUCCCAUCAGCUAGUUGGUAGGGUAAUGGCCUACCAAGGCGACGACGGGUAGGGGACCUGAGAGGGUGGCCCCCCACACUGGCACUGAAACACGGGCCAGACACCUACGGGUGGCAG
rnacentral:rRNA from 1 species